rnacentral:rRNA from 1 species
UAAAAUCUUAGUGGCGGACGGGUGAGUAACGCGUGGGUAACCUGCCUUACACUGGGGGAUAACACUUAGAAAUAGGUGCUAAUACCGCAUAAGCGCACGAAGCCGCAUGGAUUCGUGUGAAAAACUCCGGUGGUGUAAGAUGGACCCGCGUCUGAUUAGCUUGUUGGCGGGGUAACGGCCCACCAAGGCGACGAUCAGUAGCCGGCCUGAGAGGGUGGACGGCCACAUUGGGACUGAGACACGGCCCAAACUCCUACGGAAGGCAGCAG